GAUGAACGCUGGCGGCGUGCCUAAUACAUGCAAGUCGAGCGAACAGACGAGGAGCUUGCUCCUCUGACGUUAGCGGCGGACGGGUGAGUAACACGUUGAUAACCUACCUAUAAGACUGGGAUAACUUCGGGAAACCGGAGCUAAUACCGGAUAAUAUAUUGAACCUCAUGGUUCAAUAGUGAAAGACGGUUUUGCUGUCACUUAUAGAUGGAUCCGCGCCGCAUUAGCUAGUUGGUAAGGUAACGGCUUACCAAGGCAACGAUGCGUAGCCGACCUGAGAGGGUGAUCGGCCACACUGGAACUGAGACACGGUCCAGACUCCUACGGGAGGCAGCAGUAGGGAAUCUUCCGCAAUGGGCGAAAGCCUGACGGAGCAACGCCGCGUGAGUGAUGAAGGUCUUCGGAUCGUAAAACUCUGUUAUUAGGGAAGAACAAAUGGGUAAGUAACUAUGCACGUCUUGACGGUACCUAAUCAGAAAGCCACGGCUAACUACGUG
rnacentral:rRNA from 1 species